GACGAACGCUGGCGGCGUGCUUAACACAUGCAAGUCGAACGGAAAGGCCCUGCUUGUGUGUGGUGCUCGAGUGGCGCACGGGUGAGUAACCCGUGAGUAUCCUGCCCUUGACUUUGGGAUAACUGCAGGAAACUGGUGCUAAUACCGGAUAGGAGCUCCUGCUGCAUGGUGGGGGUUGGAAAGUUUAGGCGGUGGUGGAUGGACUGGCGGGUUAUCAGCUUGUUGGUGGGGUAGUGGCUUACCAAGGCUUUGACGGAUAGCCGGCCUGAGAGGGUAACCGGCCACAUGGGGACUGAGAUACGGCGCAGACUGCAACGGGAGGCAGCAGUGGGGAAUAUUGCACAAUGGGGGGAAGCCUGAUGAAGAAACGCUGCGUGCGGGAUGACGGCCUUCGGGUUGGAAACCGCUUUAGCCUGUGACGAAGCGUGAGUGACGGUAACGGGUAAAGAAGCACCGGCUAACUACGUG
rnacentral:rRNA from 1 species